UGAAGUUUCCAAUGGUGUUGCUCAACCCAGUGCCUCCACCAGAUUGUUUGUUGUUCCAGAUUCCAGCGUCUGCAGUCCCUUCCAUCCCUGUCUUUGAAAUCUGAUAUCAAGUGAUUUGGAAGAGAAAUGGGUGAUCCCCAGCCAGAGAGGUUUAAUCAGACCUUGAUAGACAUGCUCGGAACCUUGGAAAUCAGCAAAAGAACACAUGAAGUCAACAUAUUGGACAUCUAGUCCACUGCUACAACUGUACCAGAAAUGAAGCUACCAGCAGAGACGAAGAGAGAAGACGCUGGAACGGGACCGUGACCCAACGAAGCCCGGGGAGAUCGAAGGAGGAUCAGUGAAGGGAAACCGGUGGAUGGGAUUCUGUUGAAGACCCUGACCUGGAGUUACACUCAGACUUCAGCUCUUCGCUGUGGUGGGACCUGCUCCCGGGGUUUCGUGGCCUAGUGGUCAGGCUGAUUCUAUGUCGAUGCCACUGACUGAGGUGUCACAGGAGAAAACGGAACAUUAGAAACAGCGGAUCAGCUGUCAGAGGCUGUGUACUUGGAAUGGGACCCGCUCUCAGUGCCUCACAACUGGCUGCUUUUUGAUAUGCCAAGGACACAACCUGGAUAACUAGGGUGCCUUCUGGGUGCUGGAUUUCUGUGGCUCUGGAGUCGGGCUGAUUCAAUGCCAGUGUCCCUGACUAAAGUGUCGUAGGAGAACAUGGAAAAUUGGGAGCAGCGGGUUAGCUGCCAUGGGCCGUGUGCCCAGAGACCUGAGCCUUUCCGAUGCUGAUUCUCUGGGCACAGAGCUCGGGGAAAGCGACGCUACAGACUUUUAACAUCAUAAAUCAACGAGUUCUUUGUUAUGUCUCCCCUCUCGCUAUGAAACA